CGAGACUUGUCUCAGGGAGGGGGAGAAAAAAAACAACAAAAAAAGCAGAGGCUAACAGGUAACUCCGAGGAUGACAGAAAACACCAGAGUUUUUAAGAGAUGUUAGAAGCCCUGGGAGCAGUGAACAAACCAGAAAGCUCCCGAUGCUUGAUCCCUGAGCUCCACCUAGCAAGUACCGCGGCAGCUAACCUGGGAGACCACCCCAACCAACAGAGACUGAAAUUCGCCCCCCAAGAGAGGAAGUGGAUAGUUCUAAGCUGUCCCCAAACAUGACCUCACAAACGAAAACUAACCGUUGCGAACGGAAACAACUGACCGGACAGAACACAGCCAGAAAACACGAGCCCGCACCCUGAAUUACAAAAACACUUAGGGCUCACCUACUAUUCACACCACAAAAGCACCAGGGUAAAGCGCGAACGUAGUCCCCCACUACCACAAAUUAUGCAAUUGAGUUUCCCACAUUUGGGGAAAUCGCAGGGGUCAGCACAUACAGAGUACUAUGGAUAAGCCUCGCCCUGGGAAAAACACCUUCGUGAUCGCGAUAUCUCCCCUGCCAGGAACUCCUUCGUGGUGAAGCAGCAGCCCCUGCUCUGCCUCAUCUACAUAGAAAUCGCCCUAUCCGUGAUGUCACCGACAGCGCCUUUCCCAGUCCCCGUCUGCUCUU
rnacentral:lncRNA from 1 species